rnacentral:rRNA from 1 species
GACGAACGCUGGCGGCGUGCUUAACACAUGCAAGUCGAACGGUAAGGCCCUUCGGGGUACACGAGUGGCGAACGGGUGAGUAACACGUGGGUGAUCUGCCCUGCACUUCGGGAUAAGCCUGGGAAACUGGGUCUAAUACCGGAUAGGACUCCGGACUGCAUGGUCUGGGGUGGAAAGCUUUUGCGGUGUGGGAUGGGCCCGCGGCCUAUCAGCUUGUUGGUGGGGUGAUGGCCUACCAAGGCGACGGCGGGUAGCCGGCCUGAGAGGGUGACCGGCCACACUGGGACUAAGAUACGGCCCAGACUCCUACGGGAGGCAGCAGUGGUGAAUAUUGCACAAUGGGCGCAAGCCUGAUGCAGCGACGCCGCGUGAGGGAUGACGGCCUUCGGGUUGUAAACCUCUUUCAGCAUCGACGAAGCGAAAGUGACGGUACCUGCAGAAGAAGCACCGGCUAACUACGUGCCAGCCGCCGCGGUAA